rnacentral:tmRNA from 1 species
AUUAAUCAAACUAGCAUAAUGACGGAUGUCUAUCACCUCCCAUUAUGCGAAACCUAUUGAUAGACUACGCACGUAGAAGUGCUAGUAUCAGAACCUCUGGACGCGGGUUCGAAUCCCGCCGUCUCCAUAU